rnacentral:rRNA from 2 species
AGUCGAACGAACUCUGGUAUUGAUUGGUGCUUGCAUCAUGAUUUACAUUUGAGUGAGUGGCGAACUGGUGAGUAACACGUGGGAAACCUGCCCAGAAGCGGGGGAUAACACCUGGAAACAGAUGCUAAUACCGCAUAACAACUUGGACCGCAUGGUCCGAGUUUGAAAGAUGGCUUCGGCUAUCACUUUUGGAUGGUCCCGCGGCGUAUUAGCUAGAUGGUGAGGUAACGGCUCACCAUGGCAAUGAUACGUAGCCGACCUGAGAGGGUAAUCGGCCACAUUGGGACUGAGACACGGCCCAAACUCCUACGGGAGGCAGCAGUAGGGAAUCUUCCACAAUGGACGAAAGUCUGAUGGAGCAACGCCGCGUGAGUGAAGAAGGGUUUCGGCUCGUAAAACUCUGUUGUUAAAGAAGAACAUAUCUGAGAGUAACUGUUCAGGUAUUGACGGUAUUUAACCAGAAAGCCACGGCUAACUACGUGCCAGCAGCCGCGGUAAUACGUAGGUGGCAAGCGUUGUCCGGAUUUAUUGGGCGUAAAGCGAGCGCAGGCGGUUUUUUAAGUCUGAUGUGAAAGCCUUCGGCUCAACCGAAGAAGUGCAUCGGAAACUGGGAAACUUGAGUGCAGAAGAGGACAGUGGAACUCCAUGUGUAGCGGUGAAAUGCGUAGAUAUAUGGAAGAACACCAGUGGCGAAGGCGGCUGUCUGGUCUGUAACUGACGCUGAGGCUCGAAAGUAUGGGUAGCAAACAGGAUUAGAUACCCUGGUAGUCCAUACCGUAAACGAUGAAUGCUAAGUGUUGGAGGGUUUCCGCCCUUCAGUGCUGCAGCUAACGCAUUAAGCAUUCCGCCUGGGGAGUACGGCCGCAAGGCUGAAACUCAAAGGAAUUGACGGGGGCCCGCACAAGCGGUGGAGCAUGUGGUUUAAUUCG